AACGAACGCUGGCGGCAGGCCUAACACAUGCAAGUCGAGCGAGGACUUCGGUCCUAGCGGCGGACGGGUGAGUAACGCGUGGGAACGUGCCCUUUGCUUCGGAAUAGCCCUGGGAAACUGGGAGUAAUACCGGAUGAGCCCUUUGGGGGAAAGAUUUAUCGGCGAAGGAUCGGCCCGCGUUGGAUUAGGUAGUUGGUGGGGUAAUGGCCUACCAAGCCGACGAUCCAUAGCUGGUUUGAGAGGAUGAUCAGCCACACUGGGACUGAGACACGGCCCAGACUCCUACGGGAGGCAGCAGUGGGGAAUCUUAGACAAUGGGGGAAACCCUGAUCUAGCCAUGCCGCGUGAGCGAUGAAGGCCUUAGGGUUGUAAAGCUCUUUCAUCUGGGAAGAUAAUGACGGUACCAGCAGAAGAAGCCCCGGCUAACUCCGUG
rnacentral:rRNA from 1 species